UGGGGAAUAUUGCACAAUGGGCGCAAGCCUGAUGCAGCCAUGCCGCGUGUAUGAAGAAGGCCUUCGGGUUGUAAAGUACUUUCAGCGGGGAGGAAGGGAGUAAAGUUAAUACCUUCGCUCAUUGACGUUACCCGCAGAAGAAGCACCGGCUAACUCCGUGCCAGCAGCCGCGGUAAUACGGAGGGUGCAAGCGUUAAUCGGAAUUACUGGGCGUAAAGCGCACGCAGGCGGUUGAUUGAGUCAGAUGUGAAAUCCCCGGGCUUAACCCGGGAAUUGCAUCUGAUACUGGUCAGCUAGAGUCUUGUAGAGGGGGGUAGAAUUCCAUGUGUAGCGGUGAAAUGCGUAGAGAUGUGGAGGAAUACCGGUGGCGAAGGCGGCCCCCUGGACAAAGACUGACGCUCAGGUGCGAAAGCGUGGGGAGCAAACAGG
rnacentral:rRNA from 1 species